rnacentral:rRNA from 1 species
CUUGAGCUUUAUAAGAGGUCCAGCCUGCCCAGUGACUCUGUUCAACGGCCGCGGUAUCCUAACCGUGCGAAGGUAGCGUAAUCACUUGUUCUUUAAAUGCGGACUAGUAUGAAUGGCACUACGAGGGUUAUACUGUCUCCUUUUUCUAAUCAGUGAAACUAAUUUUCCCGUGAAGAAGCGGGGAUAUAACUAUAAGACGAGAAGACCCUAUGGAGCUUUAAACAACCCAGCAAUUACUUCUAAAAUUAUAAAUUUCAGAAUAUCCACUUUUUAAGUUAUAUGUCUGCAAGUUUUUGGUUGGGGUGACCAUGGAGUAUAACAUAACCUCCAUAUUGAAUGAAUUCCCUUCUAAGCUAAAAAUUACCAAUUGAAGCAUCAACAUACUGACAUCUAUUGACCCAAUAUAUUUGAUCAACGAAC